GGUUAAGCGACUAAGCGUACACGGUGGAUGCCCUGGCAGUCAGAGGCGAUGAAGGACGUGCUAAUCUGCGAUAAGCGUCGGUAAGGUGAUAUGAACCGUUAUAACCGGCGAUUUCCGAAUGGGGAAACCCAGUGUGUUUCGACACACUAUCAUUAACUGAAUCCAUAGGUUAAUGAGGCGAACCGGGGGAACUGAAACAUCUAAGUACCCCGAGGAAAAGAAAUCAACCGAGAUUCCCCCAGUAGCGGCGAGCGAACGGGGAGCAGCCCAGAGCCUGAAUCAGUGUGUGUGUUAGUGGAAGCGUCUGGAAAGGCGCGCGAUACAGGGUGACAGCCCCGUACACAAAAAUGCACAUGCUGUGAGCUCGAUGAGUAGGGCGGGACACGUGGUAUCCUGUCUGAAUAUGGGGGGACCAUCCUCCAAGGCUAAAUACUCCUGACUGACCGAUAGUGAACCAGUACCGUGAGGGAAAGGCGAAAAGAACCCCGGCGAGGGGAGUGAAAAAGAACCUGAAACCGUGUACGUACAAGCAGUGGGAGCACGCUUAGGCGUGUGACUGCGUACCUUUUGUAUAAUGGGUCAGCGACUUAUAUUCUGUAGCAAGGUUAACCGAAUAGGGGAGCCGAAGGGAAACCGAGUCUUAACUGGGCGUUAAGUUGCAGGGUAUAGACCCGAAACCCGGUGAUCUAGCCAUGGGCAGGUUGAAGGUUGGGUAACACUAACUGGAGGACCGAACCGACUAAUGUUGAAAAAUUAGCGGAUGACUUGUGGCUGGGGGUGAAAGGCCAAUCAAACCGGGAGAUAGCUGGUUCUCCCCGAAAGCUAUUUAGGUAGCGCCUCGUGAAUUCAUCUCCGGGGGUAGAGCACUGUUUCGGCAAGGGGGUCAUCCCGACUUACCAACCCGAUGCAAACUGCGAAUACCGGAGAAUGUUAUCACGGGAGACACACGGCGGGUGCUAACGUCCGUCGUGAAGAGGGAAACAACCCAGACCGCCAGCUAAGGUCCCAAAGUCAUGGUUAAGUGGGAAACGAUGUGGGAAGGCCCAGACAGCCAGGAUGUUGGCUUAGAAGCAGCCAUCAUUUAAAGAAAGCGUAAUAGCUCACUGGUCGAGUCGGCCUGCGCGGAAGAUGUAACGGGGCUAAACCAUGCACCGAAGCUGCGGCAGCGACGCUGAUGCGUUGUUGGGUAGGGGAGCGUUCUGUAAGCCUGCGAAGGUGUGCUGUGAGGCAUGCUGGAGGUAUCAGAAGUGCGAAUGCUGACAUAAGUAACGAUAAAGCGGGUGAAAAGCCCGCUCGCCGGAAGACCAAGGGUUCCUGUCCAACGUUAAUCGGGGCAGGGUGAGUCGACCCCUAAGGCGAGGCCGAAAGGCGUAGUCGAUGGGAAACAGGUUAAUAUUCCUGUACUUGGUGUUACUGCGAAGGGGGGACGGAGAAGGCUAUGUUGGCCGGGCGACGGUUGUCCCGGUUUAAGCGUGUAGGCUGGUUUUCCAGGCAAAUCCGGAAAAUCAAGGCUGAGGCGUGAUGACGAGGCACUACGGUGCUGAAGCAACAAAUGCCCUGCUUCCAGGAAAAGCCUCUAAGCAUCAGGUAACAUCAAAUCGUACCCCAAACCGACACAGGUGGUCAGGUAGAGAAUACCAAGGCGCUUGAGAGAACUCGGGUGAAGGAACUAGGCAAAAUGGUGCCGUAACUUCGGGAGAAGGCACGCUGAUAUGUAGGUGAAGUCCCUCGCGGAUGGAGCUGAAAUCAGUCGAAGAUACCAGCUGGCUGCAACUGUUUAUUAAAAACACAGCACUGUGCAAACACGAAAGUGGACGUAUACGGUGUGACGCCUGCCCGGUGCCGGAAGGUUAAUUGAUGGGGU
rnacentral:rRNA from 1 species